rnacentral:lncRNA from 1 species
GAGAGUUUGGCGGAGGGGGCAUGCCAGGACGAGGUGGAGCAUAAACAGGAGCACCGCCAGGGGGAGGUGGCAUCCCAGGGCGAGGAGGUGGAGGUCCUGGCAUUCCAGGGCGAGGAGGAGGUGGAGGUCCCCUCAUCAUCUGCCCAGGCGGAGGUGGCCCCAUUGGUCUCUGCCCAAACUGCGGCGGAACCCCAUACUGCGGUGGCGGACCACCAGGUCUAGGAGCAAACUGCCCAGGCGGCAUAGGCUGCGGCGGACCCCUACCCAUCUGCGGAGGACCCUGUCCAGGAUACCCCGGCAUCUGCCCAGGCGGCCUCAUCCCAGGCGCAUUAGGAGGAUACGACACAGGUGGCGCCGACAACUGCGGCGGGCGCGAGAUCUGCGGCUGCAUCAUACCAGGAGCAGGACCACCAACACCACGAACA